UUUUUUUUUUUUUUGGGUACGCGAUAACCAUUCGUUGUUGAAGUGCUACAUACGCAGCACACUCCAUUGAGGGAUGUGACAAACCACAACCCCCAGAUUCAAACUAGUAGCAACAUUUAUGUCCAAGCCAAUGCACUCGGGCAAGAAAAUCCCAACUCUGCGUCGAGAAAACUCAUAUCUUCUUCAUCACUUGGAUCUCUUUGAAUGCAUUUAGCACCCCAAGGUUUUGAUAAUAAAGAAGAUAUGGUUUUCUCCCAAGUGCAGAGACUGCAUAUUGCUACUAGUUUGAAUCCGAGGGCUAUGCUUUAUGUAAUGCACAGAAACUAAGAAUGGAUGAGGGACACACACAUAUAUAUAUAUAUAUAUAUAGGGAUAGAGAGAGAGAGAUUUGUGGAUUGUGAUUUGGGAGGGGAAUGAAACAGUAUUUAUAAGAAGAAUAUGAGGAAAAUAGAGCAAAAUUGAGAAGAUAGAAUGGUUUGGCACAGAUAUUCCAUUCAGUGUGAAAGCUUAAAGAGAGGCAAAUGACGACAUUAUGAGUUUAUGACUAGGACUACCAGAGCCUUUAUUCAACAUAGGAAUGGCAAAGCAACCUGAUAAGCAUAGUUUGUUUUUUCUCCGGUAGUGUUUGGUCUUCAAAUUUCAGUCCCUCUCCUCCAUCAUUAUGUGUUUCAAAUGACAUUUUUAUUUAUUAUUUUUUGAUUAUGUGAAAUUUACAAUUUAUUUUCUUAGCCUAUAUAUUAUUAAAAUUCAAGUUUUCUUUCUUUUUUUCUUUUUUUCUUUUUGUUGUUGAGAGUCUCCUCCGAGAAACAGAACCAACUCUUUAUUCACUUGAGCAAUUUGCAAGAUGUCAUACUCAUACUGCAACAAGAUACGAAAAAGCACCAAUGAAAAGGGCAGGCUUGCAGAAUUAGACCAGCCCAUAAUAAAAGAUGAAGUUCCAUGUUUGGGGAAUUUAGCCCAAUACCCUUAUUUGAAACGUGUUAAUGAAAUCUACUCACCUUGAUUGAAUUUUUUUCGUUUUACCCUUUCAUUUUCAUAUAUUUCCAAAUUAUCCUUUUCAAAUAUCAAAAAGGAAAAAUCAAGCCCUAAACAAAGCAUGACGAAGAAGAAGAGGAAGAGAAAGUGAGAAAAAAUGGCAAAACAGCUUGGGAUGACCAAAGAGUUCUUCAGGAGGAAGGAUGGAAGUCAAUAAUCACGAUUUAGAUGGUUUCUUUCUUGUCGAAUCUAAGAUGAAAGUGCAGGAAUUAAAGCGUGGAACUGAACGCCUAUCUAGGAAUUUGCAGGUGAUGUAUGCUUUGUCGUUGGACAAGUCAAAUCUGGCUGUUUCAAAAUAUCAAGCUGGGUGCAUGGAUGCUAAAGGAUUAGUAGAACCAAACCAUCAAACUCCAGAGAAGGAUCAUAAUGAUAACUAGUGUACCUGCUGGAAGUAGCAAACUGAACUAUGGAGUGAGUGACUUCAAGAAAAAAUGUUGUAGAAGAUCUUCAUGGAUCACCAGCAUGACUUUUAGCAUAUGCAUACAGAAGAAAAUUUCAUGAUAUGCUAAGGAUCUUAGUACUAAAAACAGUUUACAUGUACUAAAUCUUACUAGCUGGGGGUUUAACUUAAAGAAGCUCACAUAUGAAGAAAGGAAGAACCCGUUAAUUGAAGGAUUGACUAAAUUUGGGCAGUGGCAUAAAUUUUCAAAGAUAAUGCACAUGCCAUAUAGAGAAACCUGGCUUUCCUUGUGUCCAUGCAAUUGCAGCAUGUAAGCAUCAACAUAUUUCUCCAUAUAUCAUUUGCUCGGCACAUUACUCAAUUGACUCACUUCGUGAAGCAUAUUCGGAAACCAUAUAUCCACUUGGAGAUAAAUGUCAGUGGCAUGCUCUAGAUGAUGUCAUAAACCAGCUUGUACUUCUACCUAAGAUUGGCAAACAGUCAGGAAGACCAAGAAAGAAGAGGAUUCAAUCUCAAGGAGAGGAGUGUCAUCAAUAUAGAUUGGUCAUAGCAGCUGAUCAUGCUCAGGCGCCAUACCUCUUGAUAGCAUUGCCAACCAACAGCACCAUUCAACCGAAGGACCAUAAAUCGCUCUACACUAUAUUAAGACAAUGGGGGCAUGUUAUGUGGUAUGCAUGUGUUAUGCAAUGUAGUAAGGAAUGCAAUUAGUAGCUCAACCGCGUAACGUGUGUUUUGGCAUAACAGACAUUGGUUUUAUGUGUUGUUUUGUUGGAAAAGUAUCUAUCG